GGUGAACGCUGGCGGCGUGCCUAAUACAUGCAAGUCGAGCGAACAGACGAGGAGCUUGCUCCUCUGACGUUAGCGGCGGACGGGUGAGUAACACGUGGAUAACCUACCUAUAAGACUGGGAUAACUUCGGGAAACCGGAGCUAAUACCGGAUAAUAUAUUGAACCGCAUGGUUCAAUAGUGAAAGACGGUUUUGCUGUCACUUAUAGAUGGAUCCGCGCCGCAUUAGCUAGUUGGUAAGGUAACGGCUUACCAAGGCAACGAUGCGUAGCCGACCUGAGAGGGUGAUCGGCCACACUGGAACUGAGACACGGUCCAGACUCCUACGGGAGGCAGCAGUAGGGAAUCUUCCGCAAUGGGCGAAAGCUUGACGGAGCAACGCCGCGUGAGUGAUGAAGGUCCUCGGAUCGUAAAACUCUGUUAUUAGGGAAGAACAAAUGUGUAAGUAACUAUGCACGUCUUGACGGUACCUAAUCAGAAAGCCACGGCUAACUACGUG
rnacentral:rRNA from 1 species